UGUAUCGACUAUUUGUGCGCGGCAAACUCGUUUGUUCGUUUAUUGUUCAAAACCGUGUUAGUGGUUACUAGCAUCGAGCGCGGCAGCCGUGUUCGGCUGUUGAUCGACGCUGUUCGUCAGUUCUCGCAAGAUCACCACGAAUACAGCACGUGCAACGGCUGCCUUUAUGUUGAUGUUCAACAUUAUGGAAGAAAAUAGGAAACCGAAACGAAAAGUGCGUUGGUGGAUUAAGGGACUGUAUCAUCAGCGAAUGCAAUAUGGAAAUAGACUUAUGCGAGAUAUGACAUUUGAAUUAGUGGAGGAUACAGUUAAAAAUUUUACUCGAACGUCAUUAUCGGAUUUCGAACACAUAACCUCAUUGAUCGAGCCAAGAGUUUACUUUUGUUAUGAAAUGCACGGGCAAAGGAAGGAUGCUUUCUCCAUUCAUAUAUACUAUGUAUAAUUCCAUUCAACUGGGGGAAGAAGAAGAAAAAGAAAAAAGGCAGAAAAUGUCACAAUACAAACAGUAUUAAAAAGACAAACUGGUGUUUUUUUAUUUACAUUCACCAUAAACUAGUAACCUUGAUGCUGCAGUGUAAGGGUGUCCUUGUAUGUUGCAAUAUACUGUUUUGCAGAAAUAGGAAGACAUAUACAGGCACACUGUGUAAAUUGUUAAUCAUAUAUACAAGGUCAGCUAAUGCUGGCAUGUGAAGUACAAAUGGCAAGUCAUAACAUUAAUAAUACUGAUUAAAAUUAACAAUGUGUGAGGUGAAUGGAA